rnacentral:rRNA from 1 species
CUAACAAGGAUUCCCCUAGUAGCGGCGAGCGAAGAGGGAAAAGCCCAGCACCGAACCUCGCACCUUCGGGUGUCGCGGAAUGUGGUGUUCAGGAGGACCGUGCGCGUCUGUCCGGUAUCGUCCAAGUCUCCAUGAAUGGGGCCAGCAACCCAGAGAGGGUGUCAGGCCCGUGGGACGAGCCGCGACCGUGCAUUGGGUCUCUCCUUAGAGUCGGGUUGCUUGAGAGUGCAGCCCUAAGCGGGAGGUAAACUCCUUCUAAGGCUAAAUACGGCCACGAGACCGAUAGCAAACAAGUACCGCGAGGAAAGUUGAAAAGAACUUUGAAGAGAGAGUUCAAGAGUGCGUGAAACCGUUCAGGGGGUUAAACGGGUGGGCCCUCGAAGGUCGAAAGGUUCCCACUCCCGUCACUCGUAGGCCGGUCCGCGCUGCUUUUUCGAUUCCUUACGGAACGAGGCUGGCGCGGUUCUCCGGUUUACGGGGGCCGCUAGCUGGGGACCCAGUAGGACUCCGCAACCGGCUGGGUUAGGCCGUCAGAAGGGUUCUGGAGGAAGCCUCCUCGCGAGGUGGAUUCCGGGAUUCCGGGCGGUCCUCUCGGCCGUGAACCCAAAUUUCUCCCUUGCGGAGAGUAGAGUCGGGUCCCACCCGACCCGUCUUGAAACACGGACCAAGGAGUCUAACAUGUGCGCGAGUCGUCGGGUACUACUAAACCCGAAGGCGCAAUGAAAGUGAAGGCCGCCCUCGUUGGCGGCCGAGGGGAGAUCCCGUUCUGCUCCGGUAGCUCGGGCGCAUCCCCGGGCGUCGAAGCCGCGUUGCCGGCUAGACGAACCAAGAGCGUACACGUUGGGACCCGAAAGAUGGUGACCUAUGCCUGGCCAGGACGAAGCCAGGGGAAACCCUGGUGGAGGUCCGCAGCGAUUCUGACGUGCAAAUCGAUCGUCUGAGUUGGGUAUA